rnacentral:rRNA from 1 species
UCCGUAGGCGGUCUAAUAAGUCAGUGGUGAAAGCCCAUCGCUUAACGAUGGAACGGCCAUUGAUACUGUUAGACUUGAAUUACUGGGAAGUAACUAGAAUAUGUAGUGUAGCGGUGAAAUGCUUAGAUAUUACAUGGAAUACCAAUUGCGAAGGCAGGUUACUACCAGUUGAUUGACGCUGAUGGACGAAAGCGUGGGGAGCGAACA